GGCGACCGGCGCACGGGUGAGUAACGCGUAUGCAACUUGCCUAUCAGAGGGGGAUAACCCGGCGAAAGUCGGACUAAUACCGCAUGAAGCAGGGAUCCCGCAUGGGAAUAUUUGCUAAAGAUUCAUCGCUGAUAGAUAGGCAUGCGUUCCAUUAGGCAGUUGGCGGGGUAACGGCCCACCAAACCGACGAUGGAUAGGGGUUCUGAGAGGAAGGUCCCCCACAUUGGUACUGAGACACGGACCAAACUCCUACGGGAGGCAGCAGUGAGGAAUAUUGGUCAAUGGCCGAGAGGCUGAACCAGCCAAGUCGCGUGAGGGAUGAAGGUUCUAUGGAUCGUAAACCUCUUUUAUAAGGGAAUAAAGUGCGGGACGUGUCCCGUUUUGUAUGUACCUUAUGAAUAAGGAUCGGCUAACUCCGUGCCAGCAGCCGCGGUAAUACGGAGGAUCCGAGCGUUAUCCGGAUUUAUUGGGUUUAAAGGGUGCGUAGGCGGCCUUUUAAGUCAGCGGUGAAAGUCUGUGGCUCAACCAUAGAAUUGCCGUUGAAACUGGGGGGCUUGAGUAUGUUUGAGGCAGGCGGAAUGCGUGGUGUAGCGGUGAAAUGCAUAGAUAUCACGCAGAACCCCGAUUGCGAAGGCAGCCUGCCAAGCCAUUACUGACGCUGAUGCACGAAAGCGUGGGGAUCAAACAGGAUUAGAUACCCUGGUAGUCCACGCAGUAAACGAUGAUCACUAGCUGUUUGCGAUACACUGUAAGCGGCACAGCGAAAGCGUUAAGUGAUCCACCUGGGGAGUACGCCGGCAACGGUGAAACUCAAAGGAAUUGACGGGGGCCCGCACAAGCGGAGGAACAUGUGGUUUAAUUCGAUGAUACGCGAGGAACCUUACCCGGGUUUGAACGCAUUCGGACCGAGGUGGAAACACCUUUUCUAGCAAUAGCCGUUUGCGAGGUGCUGCAUGGUUGUCGUCAGCUCGUGCCGUGAGGUGUCGGCUUAAGUGCCAUAACGAGCGCAACCCUUGCCACUAGUUACUAACAGGUAAAGCUGAGGACUCUGGUGGGACUGCCAGCGUAAGCUGCGAGGAAGGCGGGGAUGACGUCAAAUCAGCACGGCCCUUACAUCCGGGGCGACACACGUGUUACAAUGGCGUGGACAAAGGGAGGCCACCUGGCGACAGGGAGCGAAUCCCCAAACCACGUCUCAGUUCGGAUCGGAGUCUGCAACCCGACUCCGUGAAGCUGGAUUCGCUAGUAAUCGCGCAUCAGCCAUGGCGCGGUGAAUACGUUCCCGGGCCUUGUACACACCGCCCGUCAAGCCAUGGGAGCCGGGGGUACCUGAAGUCCGUAACCG
rnacentral:rRNA from 1 species